UAAACAAAUAUGUUUUGUUUAGUCCCUAUCUACGAUCUAGCGAAACCACAGCCCAGGGAACGGGCUUGGAAUAAUUAGCGGGGAAAGAAGACCCUUUUGAGCUUGACUCUAAUCUGGCAGUGUAAGGAGACAUAAGAGGUGUAGAAUAAGUGGGAGAUAUUCGACUUCGGUUUGGUAUCGACAAUGAAAUACCACUACUCUUAUUGUUUCCUUACUUACUUGAUUAAAUGGAACGUGUAUCAUUUCCUAGCCAUUAUACGGAUAUAAUUAUUAUGUCUUAUGGUAUUGGGUUUUGAUGCAAGCUUCUUGAUCAAAGUAUCACGAGUUUGUUAUAUAAUCGCAAACAAAUUCUUUAAUGAGAGAAUGCAUUUAUGUAUUAUUGAUUUAAAAAUUUGGUAUAACUUCAAUUACUCAGGUAUGAUCCAAUUCAAGGACAUUGCCAGGUAGGGAGUUUGACUGGGGCGGUACAUCUCUCAAAUAAUAACGGAGGUGUCCCAAGGCCAGCUCAGUGCGGACAGAAACCACAUAUAGGUUCGGUUUGGUAUCGACAAUGAAAUACCACUACUCUUAUUGUUUCCUUACUUACUUGAUUAAAUGGAACGUGUAUCAUUUCCUAGCCAUUAUACGGAUAUAAUUAUUAUGUCUUAUGGUAUUGAGUUUCGAUGCAAGCUUCUUGAUCAAAGUAUCACGAGUUUGUUAUAUAAUCGCAAACAAAUUCUUUAAUGAGAGAAUGCAUUUAUGUAUUAUUGAUUUAAAAAUUUGGUAUAACUCCAAUUACUCAGGUAUGAUCCAAUUCAAGGACAUUGCCAGGUAGGGAGUUUGACUGGGGCGGUACAUCUCUCAAAUAAUAACGGAGGUGUCCCAAGGCCAGCUCAGUGCGGACAGAAACCACACAUAGAGCAAAAAGGCAAAUGCUGACUUGAUCUCGGUGUUCAGUACACACAGGGACAGCAAAAGCUCGGCCUAUCUAUCCUUUUGGUUUAAAGAGUUUUUAACAAGAGGUGUCAGAAAAGUUACCAUAGGGAUAACUGGCUUGUGGCGGCCAAGCGUUCAUAGCGACGUCGCUUUUUGAUCCUUCGAUGUCGGCUCUUCCCAUAAUUGUGAGGCAAACUUCACCAAGCGUUGGAUUGUUCACCCAUGCAAGGGAACGUGAGCUGGGUUUAGACCGUCGUGAGACAGGUUAGUUUUACCCUACUAAUGACAAAACGUUGUUGCGACAGCAUUCCUUCCAAUGGCACAAUACUUGUUCGAGCGAACAGUGGUAUGACGCUACGUCCGUUGGAUUAUGCCUGAACGCCUCUAAGGUCGUAUCCGUGCUGGACUGCAAUGAUAAAUAAGGGGCAAUUUGCAUUGUAUGGCUUCUAAACCAUUAAAAGUUUUUAAUUUGUUUUAUUAACGACAAUGGAUGUGAUGCCAAUGUUAUUUAUAACAUAGUAAAUUGGGAGGAUCUUCGAUCACCUGAUGCCGCGCUAGUUAUAUUUUAAAACAUUAUUUAAUACAAUGUCAAAGCCUAGAAUCAAUUGUAAACGACUUUUGUAACAGGCAAGGUGUUGUAAGUGGUUGAGCAGCUGCCAUACUGCGAUCCACUGAAGCUUAUCCUUUGCUUGAUGAUUC
rfam:Drosophila virilis strain TSC#15010-1051.87 Ctg01_16765, whole genome shotgun sequence.